CGAAMUCWKAGUUUGAUCCUGGCUCAGGACGAACGCUGGCGGCGUGCUUAACACAUGCAAGUCGAACGGUGAACCACCUUCGGGUGGGGAUCAGUGGCGAACGGGUGAGUAACACGUGGGCAACCUGCCCCUGGCUCUGGGAUAACUCCUCGAAAGAGGUGCUAAUACCGGAUACGACCUCGCGAGGCAUCUCGCUUGGUUGAAAGUUUUUCGGCUAGGGAUGGGCCCGCGGCCUAUCAGCUUGUUGGUGGGGUAGUGGCCCACCAAGGCGACGACGGGUAGCCGGCCUGAGAGGGCGACCGGCCACACUGGGACUGAGACACGGCCCAGACUCCUACGGGAGGCAGCAGUGGGGAAUAUUGCSCAAUGGGCGAAAGCCUGACGCAGCAACGCCGCGUGAGGGAGGAAGGCCUUCGGGUUGUAAACCCCUUUCAGCAGGAACGAAGCGAGAGUGACGGUACCUGCAGAAGAAGCGCCGGCUAACUACGUGCCAGCAGCCGCGGUA
rnacentral:rRNA from 1 species